GAUGAACGCUGGCGGCGUGCCUAAUACAUGCAAGUCGAGCGAACAGACGAGGAGCUUGCUCCUCUGACGUUAGCGGCGGACGGGUGAAUAACACGUGGAUAACCUACCUAUAAGACUGGGAUAACUUCGGGAAACCGGAGCUAAUACCGGAUAAUAUAUUGAACCGCAUGGUUCAAUAGUGAAAGACGGUUUUGCUGUCACUUAUAGAUGGAUCCGCGCCGCAUUAGCUAGUUGGUAAGGUAACGGCUUACCAAGGCAACGAUGCGUAGCCGACCUGAGAGGGUGAUCGGCCACACUGGAACUGAGACACGGUCCAGACUCCUACGGGAGGCAGCAGUAGGGAAUCUUCCGCAAUGGGCGAAAGCUUGACGGAGCAACGCCGCGUGAGUGAGGAAGGUCUUCGGAUCGUAAAACUCUGUUACUAGGGAAGAACAAAUGUGUAAGUAACUAUGCACGUCUUGACGGUACCUAAUCAGAAAGCCACGGCUAACUACGUG
rnacentral:rRNA from 1 species